AGCUAUUGGCGCUUUCACUAUUGUUGAAAUGCUAUUUAGCUCUAGUCUUCUUGCCAUUGUUGGAGCUGGUGAAGAGGCCACAGCCAUCUUUAUCUCCGCGUCGUCUCUGUUUGUUCAAUACAACAAGUGGAACUGCUCUUCGAGAAUUGAACUUUUUGACUUCAAUAUUUCCGUUCGUAUGAAUAGGAAAAGGUAAACCAUUUGACUGGUAAUGAUCUUUUGCCACCAGUUUUUCUUGGUUUCAAAAUAUCCUUUGCAUUGAUGUUUAAUGCUUAUCCAUUCUUUUACUUGUUAACAAAAUAUGCGUUUCUAGUCUAGAUAGUUGCCAUAUUUUGCAUUUUGGCUCUUGUUGACAACUGUUAGGACUUUUGCUAUUUAGUAAUUAACCUUUCCCAGGAGUAUCAUGGUUAUCCUGCUCCAUCUUUUUAUGAAAUAAUGGAUUAUUUCCAAUUACUUGUUUUAUACGUUUUUCUUCCCUUUAUGGUUCUUCUACAUGCAUCAAUGAGAACGUAUAGAUUAUGUGUCUCUGCAGAGUACUUGGCCUAUUUUCUAGUGUUUGUCCAUGUUAAUAAAUUGUUUGCAUUCGCCGAUGUUAAUGCUUGUAUCCAACUUUGUUUGAUUUCUCUUAGAUAAACUAGACAGUUCAUGUCUAUGUAUUUGGGAAUUCGAAUAAGUGGAUUUUGAUUCUUUCUACAGCUUUAAAGUCCCAAAGCUGUGCAGUACUUCUAUUAGAUUAAGGCUUCACAUACUUUGGUGAGUUGUGCUUGGCAAGUUUGUGUCUUUAUUGGUCUCUUGCUCAGUUAUACUAUAUGGGUUUUGAUUUCUAGGCUUGGUUUUGGCUGAUUGCUCUCAGUCUGGAACUGGGUUUCUUUUAUUCAAAUUCCUUUUCAGGUAGAAGCUUUAAAAAGGGCCCAGAGUCUUCACUUUACAGAAGAGGUUCGAUCUACAAAAUGUCGUCUAGGUGCUUUUAAGGUUAAGAUAGAGUUUGACGACCUGAAGAAUAAGGCCCUUCAUACGUGCAGUUACUUGAGUUCCCUUGUUAGUCAAAUUGAGAGGUAGAUGAUAGAAGAUAUUGGAGAUGAAACCAAGUUUCGUAUUUCUACCGUCAUCUAAGAUCACAUAUGAUAUCAACAUGUAACUGCUAGGAAUUGUUUAGUUAGUUGUAAUUAUAGCUUAAGUUAACUGUUAUGAGUAACAGAUUCAGUAAAUGUCCUCUUUCAUUUGAAAGGACGUCUGUUUUGGAGUUGAAAGGAUGCUUUGUGAAUGUCCUCUUUUCUUUUCAAGGACACUUUUUGUUCAUACCAGGACUUUUUUUUUUGUGUUCUAUAAUAGAUACAAUGACGU